rnacentral:rRNA from 1 species
UGAACGCUAGCGACAGGCCUAACACAUGCAAGUCGAGGGGCGAGCACAAGGAGCAAUCUGAGGUGGCGACCGGCGCACGGGUGAGUAACACGUAUGCAACCUGCCUGUAAGCGGGGAAUAACCCGUUGAAAGACGGACUAAUACCGCAUAAUACUAAAUUACUGCAUGGUAAUUAUUUAAACAUUUAUGGCUUACAGAUGGGCAUGCGCAUGAUUAGCUAGUUGGAGAGGUAACGGCUCCCCAAGGCAACGAUCAUUAGGGGUUCUGAGAGGAAGGUCCCCCACACUGGUACUGAGACACGGACCAGACUCCUACGGGAGGCAGCAGUGAGGAAUAUUGGUCAAUGGACGAGAGUCUGAACCAGCCAAGUCGCGUGCAGGAAGAAUGUCCCUAUGGAUUGUAAACUGCUUUUGCAGGGGAAUAAAGUGCAUCACGUGUGAUGUUUUGUAUGUACUCUGCGAAUAAGGAUCGGCUAACUCCGUGCCAGCCGCCGC